ensembl:lncRNA
GUGAAUAGUGAGUAGGGAGUAGUGAGUAGGGAGUAGUGAGUAGUGAAUAGUGAGUAGGGAGUAGUGAAUAGUGAGUAGUGAAUAGUGAGUAGGGAGUAGUGAGUAGGGAGUAGUGAGUAGGGAGUAGUGAGUAGGAUAGUGAGUAGUGAGUAGUGAAUAGAGAGUAGUGAGUAGGGAGUAGUGAAUAGAGAUUAGUGAGUAGGGAGUAGUGAAUAGUGAGUUGUGAAUAGGGAGUAGUGAAUAGUGAGUUGUGAAUAGGGAGUGGUGAGCAGUGAGUGAUUUAGGACACUGUGUGAGAUUGAUUGUGUCAGUGGUUUACAGUAACUGUGCUGCGAGCCGGAAACACACUUCACUCAGUGCUAAAUAUACACACA